CACAUCCUGCGAUGCACGUUACGGUCAUUUGUUGUUUUGAACCAAUGACAAUGUCUAGGGAGAUCUAUACGAAUGAAUAGCUGAAAAGCCCUGUCAAUUGCUGACAAGGGGACUUCAAAAGUUUAUUCUGCGGUCACCCACCUGCUAAAGCAGGUUCAGAAGACGCUUUGGUCGGACGGCAUCGGCGGGUACUCC
rfam:Paenibacillus polymyxa SC2, complete genome.